CCACCGAUACCGGAGGUACUGACGGGGCGCCGAGGGGAAGGAGCGCCGGGCUUGUACGAGACGGCGGCGGCGAAAGAGAAGCAACAGGAGGAGGGGCAAUGUUACGACGGGGCAAUUUGCAUGGUCGCGUUGGUUGUGGUUGAGUCGGGGGGAGGAAAGACGGAGCGCCGGUCCCCGCGGGCGCCGCCUGCCGCAUCCCAGGCGGCUGGAGUUGGCGGAGGCCCGGAGACGAUACGGACAGCGCCUGUCGGGAGAUGGGUGAAUGUGGCUAGGUGUACUCAACGGAGCCGGAGAGUGACCACGCCUAGAUUACCUCAGUCCGCCCCUCCCCGAGUUCCAACGGAUGGUCCCGAAGGGUCCUCGAAUGUCGCUCAGGCGUCGUUUCUUCCGGAUAGGUGUAACGGUCUGGCACGGUACGCUCGUGAAGCUAUGACGUAAAGUCCGACAACUUUUGACAUGUCAACUAUCCCGUCAUGACGGUGAACUCUUAUGAGACCCGCCAUCAUAUGUAGCCUUGAUACUGGAAGAUGAAGCAGUACUCGAUGUGUAUCAACCUCUACAAGCGGUACGUCAAGCCGUAACGAACAAUCGGUUAGCACCCCACUUCUAACCUCUGGAUUCUUCACACUACUCGGUAGGGGUCCGAGAACGCGUUACACUCGUAUGUGACUGUCUCAAUCCUUAACUUGUCUCUGUUCGACAACUACUGUGACGACCACGUCGUUUCAAUAAAUGUCUUGUUUACGAGGUUCUAUGACCACGGCAACGGUCAAGUAAUCGACGACUUGAAAUACCUGACCUAUAAGAACGACUUUUAUAAGUCCUGCUUUUUCUCUUGCAGUGGGCAAAAUACUACGAACGAGCCCUUGGAUAACAUGGAGUCCAACUAUUUGGUAAGUUCUGGUCGUAACACAAAGGUGAACUUCUAACCUUUGGACGUGUUGAGGAGUUCCGUGAACGUCAAAAACGUGACUCCCUGUAGUUGGAGUGGUUCUAUCUUUCGGCGGGUGUGUUCUUUUCCGGAAAGGCACAUCGACUACUGUGAAAGAGGUGUGGGCAGUUCAUGAAGUUGAUGGAGAAAAUACAGCUGGAACUCCGUAGUUACCGACUAGGUUUUUGAGCCUUUCGAGAACCUUUAAACCUCCUCAAACGUGGGAAACAUUCUCAGGACCCCUCGAUAGGAUGUCUGCACUCGCUUCAAACUUAUUGUUCACGAACGACGAUUAGUGUAGGAUCACUCAUUAGUACCUCUCAGUCUUUCUACGUCGAGAGUCUCGGAUAAAGGAUAAACCUAACCCUAAAUUCGCCAGAAUGAGUAUUUGACAUGGACCGGUAAAUUGUCGUCUUAUCGCCUACAUGAGUCCCACCCAUCUUGACCUUAAGACUUGAUACGUAACACCCCC
rnacentral:rRNA from 1 species